rnacentral:rRNA from 1 species
UACGGGGGGAGCAAGCGUUGUUCGGAUUUACUGGGCGUAAAGGGCGCGUAGGCGGGCGAGCAAGUCCGGGGUGAAAUCUUUCGGCUUAACCGGAAAAGUGCCUUGGAUACUGCUCGUCUCGAGGGAGGUAGGGGCAUGUGGAACUUCCGGUGGAGCGGUGAAAUGCGUUGAUAUCGGAAGGAACGCCGGUGGCGAAAGCGACGUGCUGGAUCUCUUCUGACGCUGAGGCGCGAAAGCCAGGGGAGCAAACGGG